GCUCGAAUUCGGCUCCUGGCUGCAGACAGAAAUCUAAAAAAAUGAAUGAUUUAUUUUUUGUCCACUAUAUAAAUGAUUUCCUACAAUCAAAUCUAAUUUACUUUUUAAUUAACAUACAAUCUAAUUUACUUUUUAAUUAACAUACAGAGACUAGUUUGCUUAUUCUUCGAGUAGAAUUCACAAAAUGCAAUCUAAUAAGGAUUUUAGCUCAAAUCUGCCUGUGUAUUUUAACUUGUGCAUUAACUAUUCUUCUUUUACAAAGCUAUCCAAUUAGCAGACACAGUAAGCUUGUGAUUGAUGAAUGGGGGAAUAACUAUUAGGUAGCCUC
rnacentral:lncRNA from 1 species